rnacentral:sRNA from 1 species
UAGUAAAGCGUUUCAGCCUCUUCGGCGUC